UGCCAGCAGCCGCGGUAAUACGGAGGGAUCUAGCGUUAUUCGGAAUUACUGGGCGUAAAGCGAGCGUAGGCGGAUUUGUAAGUUGGAGGUGAAAUCCCAGAGCUUAACUCUGGAACUGCCUUCAAAACUACAUUUCUUGAGUUUGGUAGAGGAGAGUGGAAUUCCUAGUGUAGAGGUGAAAUUCGUAGAUAUUAGGAGGAACACCAGUGGCGAAGGCGACUCUCUGGGCCAAUACUGACGCUGAGGUUCGAAAGCAUGGGUAGCGAACAGGAUUAGAUA
rnacentral:rRNA from 1 species